rnacentral:rRNA from 1 species
GACAGAGGAUGCAAGCGUUAUCCGGAAUUAUUGGGCGUAAAGAGCUCGUAGGCGGUUUGUCGCGUCUGCUGUGAAAACCCGAGGCUCAACCUCGGGCCUGCAGUGGGUACGGGCAGACUAGAGUGCGGUAGGGGAGAUUGGAAUUCCUGGUGUAGCGGUGGAAUGCGCAGAUAUCAGGAGGAACACCAAUGGCGAAGGCAGAUCUCUGGGCCGUAACUGACGCUGGGGGAGCGAAAGCAUGGGGAGCGAACAGG